ACAUCCAAAAAUAUUUAAAAUAAACGGUAUUGUUUAACAGCGCGAUAAAUCGGAAUUAAUUUUUUUAAUCGCUUGACAGCCCUAGUUAGUAGUAGUCUGAUCCCAAAAUUGCCCCGAAGGAUCCUAAAGAAAUGAGUAUUAUUCGCACGGCCUUAGAGACAGCAAAUGUUUGUGUUUGUUUCUUGAAGAAAUGAUCUUCAUUCCCGCUAGACAUCAUGUUUCAUAUUAAGAGGAUACUGACUACUGAAAUUUACCAUCUACAACCAAUACAGAGCACCUUGUUGGAAGCGUAGCGAUGGAAAGAAGAAGGGAAACCAGAGAUCUUCCUGUUGUGUGUAGACAUUCAGAUUUACAGGACUCUAAGAGUAGCUUAAAGGAUUUGGCUAUAAGAAAACUCCAGGCCUACUCAGCGCUGCAGCCCAAAUAUUAGAAAGAUAAGAUUUUCACCAUUCACUGAAAAUACAUCUUUUUUUUUUUAUAUGAUAUAAAUGUUUCAUAGUAUUUUAGAAGAUUGUCAGCCACAUGGAAAAGUGUGUGUGUGUUCUUUUGAUAAUGUGGCAAGAGGUACCCUGUAUCCUUUUUUUGUUUACUUACCUUUUCACGUAAUUUGUGAUUCUUUUUUAUGAUGUAGCUCUCUACUGAAAUUAUAUCAAUACAUUUUAUACAACUCAUACUAAUAAUACAUAACUUCAAGAUAUCAUAUGUGUUAAUCUUGGACUUCUAGCUUUUAUUUUGCCAUAAUAUUCUGCUGUGUAGUUGUCAAGCUGUGAUUUAAUAAAAACUCAGAAUAUCAAAUAACAAAGGCCAGACACAGAGAAUUUAAAUGAUAGGUUUAUUAUUUUAUUCCAUAUCAUAACACCCAUAUGUUACAUGGUCUGUGUGUAUAUGGAUCUCUUCACUGUGUUUUCCACUUUGUGCAUCCGAUGGGGUGAGCUGUGGCUCACGAAAGCUUGUGCUCGGGUGGAUUGGUUGGUCUCUGGGGUGCCACAAGUACUCCUUUUCUUUAUACAAACUAACACCGCA